AAUAAGGACGAUGAAACUUGAAAGCCUUGCAUAAACCGAACCGGUGCUGUAAAUAAGAGCGUAGGGAGAGGGAGUGUGUUUUGUUAGGAGGUCUGGUUCGCAGACUUAAACGGAGAACUUACCCAGCGGGAGCUUUCUGUCUCCGUAUCUCUCAUCUCAGGCAUCAAUAACUGUGAUUUGUUACCUCCACCAAUUGUCUAAAAUAAACAAAAGGAUCAGUUCCAGGAUUCUCAAGAAGUGGGCGUGAUGGAGAUCAAAUUAGAAUUAUGAAAUUCUUUUUCUCGUAAACCUAAAGGUUUGAAGGACCAAGUAAUAUUUAAGAUUAGAAAUAACAGAAAUGUUCUCAUUGUUCUAUGGUCUUUGGAAGUAUCUAUUCAGUAAGACAGAGUUUCAUGUACUCAUUCUUGGAAUUGACAAGGCGGGAAAAACGACUUUGUUGGAGAAAUUGAAAUCAUUGUUCUCAAACUUAGAAGGCCUCCCUCCUGAUCGAAUUGUUCCUACUGUUGGACUUAACAUUGGUCGCAUUGAAGUAUCAAAUACAAAACUUGUAUUCUGGGACCUGGGUGGUCAGCCUGGUCUUCGCUCGAUUUGGGAGAAAUAUUACGAAGAGGCUCAUGCUGUUGUAUACGUAAUCGAUGCUACUUGUCCUUCUCGUUUUGAAGAUUCAAAGUCAGCAUUAGAAAAAGUUCUGAGGCAUGAGGAUUUGCAAGGAGCCCCCCUUUUGAUAUUAGCAAACAAGCAGGAUCUUUCUGAAGCCGUAUCAGCUGAAGAAGUUGCUCAAUAUUUAGAUCUUAAGAAGUUGGAUGAGAGGGAGAGGGCUUACAUGUUGGAUGCAGUUUCAGCAUAUGACGGGAUGGGGAUUAAAGAAAGUGUGGAGUGGCUUGUGGAGGUAAUGGAACAAAGCAAGAGAACAGAAAUGUUGAGAGUUCGGGCAGGUGUUGCAGGCCCUGGUGCCUAGAAGAAACUAAAUCGAGUUACAGUUGUUUGCCUGCCUUUGUAGCUUAUGUAAAUAAACAGGGUUUACAUUAGAUUAUACAUGGCCAAAAGGCACUGUUCAAAUUCAAGGAAUGCUAAGAUGGUUCACAACACAAGUUUAGGAUAGUCCACAAUGGCCUUGAUUUGGCAUUAUGGUUCACGUGUGGCGUGCCCUUGAAAGUUGUGUAUUAGUUCAGCAGAAAGGCCAACGUGUGGUCGGAUCAACAUUCACCAAGAUACCCUGCAACUUUAUGUGCAAUUCAAAAUGCUAGUAUUACAUUCAGAGUGUAAGGUGUAGCCAUUGAUGUUCCAACCUGAUGGAUGUAGCAACAAGAUGCAGAUGCUAUAAAGGGAUUAAAAAAAAACGAAAAUUUUGCUGGCUUGUUAGGAGGUCAAAUCUAUAUUAAGUUUGCUACACAAAGAAGCAUGUGUGUUCGAGUAAACUAGUUUUGAAAUUGCGGGACAUGCAGCAUUUGCUCUUUUCUUAACAGUCGGUUGUGGUUCUGAAAGGAAAAAAAAUGAUUGUUGGAAUUUG